rnacentral:rRNA from 1 species
GACGAACGCUGGCGGCGUGCCUAAUACAUGCAAGUCGAACGCUGAAGGCGGAGCUUGCUUCUCUGGUUGAGUUGCGAACGGGUGAGUAACGCGUAGGUAACCUGCCUGGUAGUGGGGGAUAACUAUUGGAAACGAUAGCUAAUACCGCAUAACAGCAGCUAUCGCAUGAUAUCUACUUGAAAGUUGCGAUUGCUUCACUUCCACACGGAGCUGCGGUGUAUGUGGUUGUUGGUGUGGUAACGGCUCACUUAGGCGACGAUACGUCGCCGACCGGUGAGGGUGGGCGGCCACACUGAGAGUGAGACACGGCCCAGAGGCCUACAGGAGGGAGCAGGAGUGAAUCGGCAGGAAGGAGCGGGAGACAGACCAAGCAGCGCCGCGGGAGUGAGGAGGGUUGUCGGAUCGGAAAGCACGGUUGUAGGGGAAGAACGAGUGUGAGAGUGGAAAGUACACACUGUGACGGUAACGUACCAGAAAGGAACGGCUAACUACGUG